rnacentral:rRNA from 1 species
GAGUAAUGUCUGGGAAACUGCCUGAUGGAGGGGGAUAACUACUGGAAACGGUAGCUAAUACCGCAUAACGUCGCAAGACCAAAGAGGGGGACCUUCGGGCCUCUUGCCAUCGGAUGUGCCCAGAUGGGAUUAGCUAGUAGGUGGGGUAACGGCUCACCUAGGCGACGAUCCCUAGCUGGUCUGAGAGGAUGACCAGCCACACUGGAACUGAGACACGGUCCAGACUCCUACGGGAGGCAGCAGUGGGGAAUAUUGCACAAUGGGCGCAAGCCUGAUGCAGCCAUGCCGCGUGUAUGAAGAAGGCCUUCGGGUUGUAAAGUACUUUCAGCGGGGAGGAAGGGAGUAAAGUUAAUACCUUUGCUCAUUGACGUUACCCGCAGAAGAAGCACCGGCUAACUCCGUGCCAGCAGCCGCGGUAAUACGGAGGGUGCAAGCGUUAAUCGGAAUUACUGGGCGUAAAGCGCACGCAGGCGGUUUGUUAAGUCAGA